GGGCGGAUGUCGGAAUUGGUAGACGAUGCAGACUUAAAAUCUGCUGGUGGUAAAACACCGUGUGGGUUCGAGUCCCACUCCGCCCACCA
rnacentral:tRNA from 1 species